rnacentral:rRNA from 1 species
UAGGGAAUCUUCCGCAAUGGGCGAAAGCCUGACGGAGCAACGCCGCGUGAGUGAUGAAGGUCUUCGGAUCGUAAAACUCUGUUAUUAGGGAAGAACAAAUGUGUAAGUAACUAUGCACGUCUUGACGGUACCUAAUCAGAAAGCCACGGCUAACUACGUGCCAGCAGCCGCGGUAAUACGUAGGUGGCAAGCGUUAUCCGGAAUUAUUGGGCGUAAAGCGCGCGUAGGCGGUUUUUUAAGUCUGAUGUGAAAGCCCACGGCUCAACCGUGGAGGGUCAUUGGAAACUGGAAAACUUGAGUGCAGAAGAGGAAAGUGGAAUUCCAUGUGUAGCGGUGAAAUGCGCAGAGAUAUGGAGGAACACCAGUGGCGAAGGCGACUUUCUGGUCUGUAACUGACGCAGAUGUGCGAAAGCGGGGGGAUCAAACAGG